rnacentral:rRNA from 1 species
AUUGAACGCUGGCGGAAUGCUUUACACAUGCAAGUCGAACGGCAGCACGGGGCAACCUGGUGGCGAGUGGCGAACGGGUGAGUAAUACAUCGGAACGUGCCCAAUCGUGGGGGAUAACGUAGCGAAAGUUACGCUAAUACCGCAUACGAUCUACGGAUGAAAGCGGGGGAUCGCAAGACCUCGCGCGAAUGGAGCGGCCGAUGUCAGAUUAGGUAGUUGGUGGGGUAAAGGCUCACCAAGCCAACGAUCUGUAGCUGGUCUGAGAGGACGACCAGCCACACUGGGACUGAGACACGGCCCAGACUCCUACGGGAGGCAGCAGUGGGGAAUUUUGGACAAUGGGCGCAAGCCUGAUCCAGCCAUGCCGCGUGAGUGAAGAAGGCCUCGGUUGUAAGA